UUUCUGAAAAAUCGGUGAUUUCGGUUCGGUUCGGUUUUAGAUUCAAAAAUUUCGAUUAGACCGAACCGAACUGAAAUCACUAAACUACGUCGUUUUGAAAUGUACCCUUAUAUUUGCCCUAAAUCUAAAAGCCUGAGUCACGCUACCCAUCUCCAUUCCACGCCGCCUCGCGAAUUAGCAACGUUGACGACUCCUCACCUCACUGUCGGCGUCGGUCGUCACUCUCCACGGAAUCGUCGGCGUCGGUCGUCACUCUCCACGGAAUCGUCGGCGUCGGUCGUCACUCUCCACGCGGCGCAUACCUUCGUCUCUCUCAAACCAAAUCCCUAAUCUCCAUCCUUCGCGUCUUCAAUCCGUAGCCACAGCCACCCACCCCAGUCGCUAGUCCCACAGCCACCCACCGGCCACCCACCCUGCCACCCUUCGCGUCUCUCUCUCACGGCCAUCGCUCGCGUCUCUCUCUCUCAUAGCCGUCGCUCGCGAGACUCACUGUGAUUCACAACACUCUAAAUACUCAAAGAAGGUUCAGUUGCUCAGUCUCACCGUGUUGGUAGAGUUAGCUCAGGUAUUUUUUUUUUUAAGAAAAUUUUUUGGUGAGUAAUUUCUGGGUUCUUUCUAGGAUGAAAUUUGGUUGCUGUAAGUGUUUGAAUUAUGCUUUUUUGGGUUUUGUUUCGAGUGUUUUGGUAUUGUGUUUCUGGUAAAUUUUGUUGCUACUUUGAUCUGUUAGUGUUUUGCUGAUUUCUUUUUUCCUUUAGUUUUAGUGCUACAGUUCAUUUGAUGGAUUUACUGCUUGUGGAACUGCGUCUUGUUUAUGUUAUUUGAUUUUUUAUGCUAAACGAGUGGUGCCAAGAAUUAUUUUAGAGAUCUGCUCUUAGUUUUGGGAGCUUCUGUUUCCAAGUUUCUUGUAAUUAUAAUUUUCUUUUCUAUCAUAAUUGUCAGGUUGUACCAGAACUUGGAAAAGUUUGGUGCCCAUGCAAGUGCAUAACACAUUAAUAGGCUAGGUCAAAAUUGUCUAGAUGUUUGUGUUUUUUUGCAGAAUGUAAAACUGGAACCUCUUAGGUUUAAUCAUUUGAAUUUUAGUUUAAUAAUUCUAAUAUUUUUUUUC